rnacentral:lncRNA from 1 species
UUUAAACAUAAAGUGUCUUGGUAUAGACAAGGGUUCUCCCACUGCUCAUGACGGGAGCAUUAUUGUAAAGCACUGAGAAUCUGGUACAGUGUCAUUUUCGUUGCUCUGUUCCACUCUACGAAUCUGCCAUCAUUUACAGUCCCCUGUUGUGCAUGUAGAUCAUUUUUGAAUUUGUUAUUGGAAAAUACUGCAGCAAAUACCUUUAAGUUCACAUGCUGUAAAUCUACUUUUAUAGUUAAAAUUUUUCAAAAGGAACACAAGAGAUGGUUUUUUGUACAUUUUUGUGCUUAACUUACCACUGACUCUUCUUUUCAUGGUCACCCUGGGAUAUAGACCCGUAAUCGACAAAACUUUGAACGAGGCUGACUGUGCCACCGUCCCCCCAGCCAUUCGCUCCUACUGAUGAGACAAGAUGCGGUGAUGACAGAAUCAGCUUUUUGCACAGCCAGAGAACAACACAUCACACACAGGAAACAGUUGUGCUCAUGUGAUGGGGGCCUCAGCACUAGGAAGGAGUGGACUAUUGGCACACGCAGCAGCUUGAAUAAAUCUGAAAGUCACUAUGCUGUGUAAGAGAAGCCAAAUUUAAAAAGUGCAUGCUGUGUACAGAGGGUGUCAAGAAUGCCUCCUACGUGACGGAAAGCAGAUCCGUGGUUGCCUGCAGACUGGCAGGAGCAGAUUCCAAAGGCACAGGAAGAAGCUUGUGGGUAGAAUGUGUUCAUUACCUUCUGUGCAUUAUACCAUAAAAAAGCUGGUCACAAAAAUGCAAACCAAAAACAAAGGUGAAACUAGGAUAAGAUUUCUCACCUGUGUGAUUGGUAAACGUGCAGAUGUGCCGUCAUGCUUUGUUUAUGAAGCUGUGGGAUACAAGGACUCUCAUACGUCACUGUGGAAUGCAGAAUAUUGCAGCCUCAUGGAAGAGGAUUUGGCAGCGUCUAACAAAACUACAUGGCAUUUGCCCUUUGACUCAGCAAUUCUAGAAUCUGCCUCAAAAAAACUCCAGCAAAGAAAUGAAAGGACUUUAGGCACAGAGUUCUUUUCACAGCCUGCAUGUGUUUG